rnacentral:rRNA from 1 species
AAGCGACCUCGCGAGAGCAAGCGGACCUCAUAAAGUGCGUCGUAGUCCGGAUUGGAGUCUGCAACUCGACUCCAUGAAGUCGGAAUCGCUAGUAAUCGUGGAUCAGAAUGCCACGGUGAAUACGUUCCCGGGCCUUGUACACACCGCCCGUCACACCAUGGGAGUGGGUUGCAAAAGAAGUAGGUAGCUUAACCUUCGGGAGGGCGCUUACCACUUUGUGAUUCAUGACUGGGGUGAAGUCGUAACAAGGUAACCGUAGGGGAACCUGCGGUUGGAUCACCUCCUU